GAUGAACGCUGGCGGCGUGCCUAAUACAUGCAAGUCGGGCGAACAGAUAAGGAGCUUGCUCCUUUGACGUUAGCGGCGGACGGGUGAGUAACACGUGGGUAACCUACCUAUAAGACUGGAAUAACUCCGGGAAACCGGGGCUAAUGCCGGAUAACAUUUAGAGCCGCAUGGUUCUAAAGUGAAAGAUGGUUUUGCUAUCACUUAUAGAUGGACCCGCGCCGUAUUAGCUAGUUGGUAAGGUAACGGCUUACCAAGGCAACGAUACGUAGCCGACCUGAGAGGGUGAUCGGCCACACUGGAACUGAGACACGGUCCAGACUCCUACGGGAGGCAGCAGUAGGGAAUCUUCCGCAAUGGGCGAAAGCCUGACGGAGCAACGCCGCGUGAGUGAUGAAGGUCUUCGGAUCGUAAAACUCUGUUAUUAGGGAAGAACAAAUGUGUAAGUAACUGUGCACGUCUUGACGGUACCUAAUCAGAAAGCCACGGCUAACUACGUG
rnacentral:rRNA from 1 species